AAAAACCCACAUCGAGACAUUGGUUUCAAAGACUCCAUCGCAUCGUCUCCUCUUGCUGAACAUGAAGUCCCCCUCGUGUCGUCUCCCUCCGCCACUUCGAGGUAUCUCCGGUCUCUCCGGUCUCCUCUCUUCUCCUCUCUUCACUCUUCUUAUUAUUAAUUUUUUCAAACUGAUCUCUCUCCCUAUUUUUUCUGGGUUAGAUUUUGGUUUUUCCUUUUCCUUUAAUAAGGUUAGAUGUUGCAUGCUGUGGUUUUUUGGGUUUGAUUUCUUUUUAUAUCUUUAAAAAAAAGUUGAAAAGAUCUAGUUUCCCAUCUAGAAUUUGCAUCAUUCCCAACCUCCCCCUCUUUUCUCUUUUUUUAAUGUUGUUUUUAGUUGGUAUUUUCUUGGAUAUGAAAGUUAUACUGUAUUUUUUUUUUCUUUUGUUUCAAAUUACCAUUUUGUUCUUACUCAACAAUCUUUCCACCCGUAAUUAUCUUUUUUAUAAAUAUUAUAUAAUAAAAAGGACAAAUUUUCUUUUGAUAGAAAAAGAAUGACCUUUUUUUCUGGUAAAAAAGAUUAAUUUUAUCUGAUAAAGAAAGAUACAAAAAUUUGGACUAGAAAAAAAUAUAUAUUGAAAAAAG
rnacentral:lncRNA from 1 species